AUUGAACGCUGGCGGCAUGCCUUACACAUGCAAGUCGAACGGCAGCGGGCCUUCGGGUGCCGGCGAGUGGCGAACGGGUGAGUAAUGCAUCGGAACGUGCCAUUGAGUGGGGGAUAACGUAGCGAAAGUUGCGCUAAUACCGCAUAUUCUGUGAGCAGGAAAGCAGGGGACCGCAAGGCCUUGCGCUCUUUGAGCGGCCGAUGUCAGAUUAGCUAGUUGGUGGGGUAAAGGCCUACCAAGGCGACGAUCUGUAGCGGGUCUGAGAGGAUGAUCCGCCACACUGGAACUGAGACACGGUCCAGACUCCUACGGGAGGCAGCAGUGGGGAAUUUUGGACAAUGGGGGCAACCCUGAUCCAGCCAUGCCGCGUGAGUGAAGAAGGCCUUCGGGUUG
rnacentral:rRNA from 1 species